AAGACAUUAGUAAAAUUAAUUACAUCACCUUGUCAAGGUGAGAUCGUAGGGUAAUUUCCUGCAUGUCUUA
rnacentral:tRNA from 1 species